UACGGAGGGUGCAAGCGUUAUCCGGAUUUACUGGGUUUAAAGGGUGCGUAGGUGGGUUUGUAAGUCAGUGGUGAAAUCUCCGAGCUUAACUCGGAAAGGUCAACUGAUACUGUGCGGCUAGAGUGCGGAAGGGGCAACUGGAAUUCUUGGUGUAGCGGUGAAAUGCGUAGAUAUCAAGAGGAACACCUGCGGCGAAGGCGGGUUGCUGGGCCGACACUGACGCUGAGGCGCGAAAGCUAGGGGAGCGAACGGG
rnacentral:rRNA from 1 species